rnacentral:rRNA from 1 species
UGGCGGCGAACGGCUCAGUAACACGUAGUCAACCUGCCCUCGGGAUGAGAACAAUCUCGGGAAACUGAGGCUAAUUCUCGAUAGGUCAAGAUUCCUGAAAUGGGUUUUGGCUUAAAGGGGAUAACAGCAUCUUGUUAUUUCGCCCGAGGAUGGGACUGCGGCCGAUCAGGCUGUUGGUGGGGUAAAGGCUCACCAAACCAGUAACCGGUACGGGCUUUGAGAGAAGGAGCCCGGAGAUGGACACUGAGACAAGGGUCCAGGUCCUACGGGGCGCAGCAGGCGCGAAGCCUUCGCAAUGUGCGAAAGCACGACGAGGUUAUUCCGAGUGAUUUCCGCUGAGGAAAUCUUUUCUCAGAUCUAAAAUGUCUGGGGAAUAAGGGGAGGGCAAGUCUGGUGUCAGCCGCCGCGGUAAUACCAGCUCCUCGAGUGGUCAGGGCGUUUAUUGGGCCUAAAGCAUCCGUAGCCGGCUCAGUAGGUCUCCUGUUAAAUCCAACGGCUCAACCGUUGGCCUGCAGGAGAUACCGCUGGGCUAGGAGGCGGGAGAGGCGGACGGUACUCCGAAGGUAGGGGUAAAAUCCUUUGAUCCCCGGAAGACCACCAG